AUUGAACGCUGGCGGCAUGCCUUACACAUGCAAGUCGAACGGUAACAGGUCUUCGGAUGCUGACGAGUGGCGAACGGGUGAGUAAUACAUCGGAACGUGCCUAGUAGUGGGGGAUAACUACUCGAAAGAGUGGCUAAUACCGCAUGAGAUCUACGGAUGAAAGCAGGGGAUCGCAAGACCUUGUGCUACUAGAGCGGCCGAUGGCAGAUUAGGUAGUUGGUGGGAUAAAAGCUUACCAAGCCGACGAUCUGUAGCUGGUCUGAUAGGGCGAUCAGCCACACUGGGACUGAGACACGGCCCAGACUCCUACGGGAGGCAGCAGUGGGGAAUUUUGGACAAUGGGCGCAAGCCUGAUCCAGCAAUGCCGCGUGCAGGAUGAAGGCCUUCGGGUUGUAAACUGCUUUUGUACGGAACGAAAAGCCCCGGGUUAAUACCCUGGGGUCAUGACGGUACCGUAAGAAUAAGCACCGGCUAACUACGUGCCAGCAGCCGCCGUAA
rnacentral:rRNA from 1 species